ACGUGGGGUGCAAGCGUUAUCCGGAUUUACUGGGCGUAAAGCGUACCGUCGGCGUCUCAACAAGUUGUCUGUUUAAGCCUGAGGCCCAACUUCAGACCAGCAGACAAAACUGUGGAGAUUGAGUUGGUUCGGGGAAGCUGGAAUUCUCGGUGGAGGGGUGAAAUCCGUAGAUAUCGAGAGGAACGCCAUACGCGAAGGCAGGCUUCUAGGACCAUACUGACGCUCAGGGACGACAGCUCGGGGAGCAAAAGG
rnacentral:rRNA from 1 species